rfam:Ornithorhynchus anatinus chromosome 1, whole genome shotgun sequence.
GUUUUCUCAGGGACACAACUGGAGAGUUUCCAGUCCUCUACCAGUCACGAUUACAGGAAGGAGAGUCAAGCAGAGGCAUAUCUAUUCCAUUCCUAGCUUAGCCAGGGGCUAGUGAGUGGAAGGCAAUCUGCUACAAGU